rnacentral:tRNA from 1 species
GGUAAGGUGGCCGAGUUUAAGCGGUGGAUUGUAGCUCCACGGACAAAGGUUUAACCCCUUUCUUUAUCA